rnacentral:lncRNA from 1 species
GAUUUCUGAGGGAGAAGAGGCGGAUUCUCGGUGAAAACUGAGAGAGAGAGAGGCAGCGGUCGCGAGAAUAGAGAGAGAGACUUCCGAUUGUGUGUGUGUGCGCGUGUGAUCUGUCAAGAAGAAGGGUUAGGGCUCCUGGGGUUUGGGCCUGGGAGUUGGGCCGGGUCUUAAUUAGAUUGGGCUGCGAUUUUUUUUAAAAGCUUGGGCCAUUUCCAAAUCUUAGCUGGGCCCUUAUUUAUUUAAAACUUUGGGCUGAUUUUAUUUAUUUUAACAUGGACUCAAAGUUAUUUAAAUUUUGGGCUGCCUUCUAUUAAUUUCUUUGGGCUAUACUAAUUUAAUUAAUUUGACUAUCAUUAGUUUGAUU